GAUGAACGCUGGCGGCGUGCCUAAUACAUGCAAGUCGAGCGAACAGACGAGGAGCUUGCUUCUCUGACGUUAGCGGCGGACGGGUGAGUAACACGUGGAUAACCUACCUAUAAGACUGGGAUAACUUCGGGAAACCGGAGCUAAUACCGGAUAAUAUAUUGAACCGCAUGGUUCAAUAGUGAAAGACGGUUUUGCUGUCACUUAUAGAUGGAUCCGCGCCGCAUUAGCUAGUUGGUAAGGUAACGGCUUACCAAGGCGACGAUGCAUAGCCGACCUGAGAGUGGGAUCUGCCACACUGGAACUGAGACACGGUCCAGACUCCUACGGGAGGCAGCAGUAGGGAAUCUUCCGCAAUGGGCGAAAGCCUGACGGAGCAACGCCGCGUGAGUGAUGAAGGUCUUCGGAUCGUAAAACUCUGUUAUUAGGGAAGAACAAAUGUGUAAGUAACUAUGCACAUCUUGACGGUACCUAAUCAGAAAGCCACGGCUAACUACGUG
rnacentral:rRNA from 1 species